rnacentral:rRNA from 1 species
CGAAAGCGUGGGGAGCGAACAGGAUUAGAUACCCUGGUAGUCCACGCCGUAAACGAUGAGUGCUAAGUGUUAGAGGGUUUCCGCCCUUUAGUGCUGCAGCAAACGCAUUAAGCACUCCGCCUGGGGAGUACGGUCGCAAGACUGAAACUCAAAGGAAUUGACGGGGGCCCGCACAAGCGGUGGAGCAUGUGGUUUAAUUCGAAGCAACGCGAAGAACCUUACCAGGUCUUGACAUCCUCUGACAACCCUAGAGAUAGGGCUUCCCCUUCGGGGGCAGAGUGACAGGUGGUGCAUGGUUGUCGUCAGCUCGUGUCGUGAGAUGUUGGGUUAAGUCCCGCAACGAGCGCAACCCUUGAUCUUAGUUGCCAGCAUUCAGUUGGGCACUCUAAGGUGACUGCCGGUGACAAACCGGAGGAAGGUGGGGAUGACGUCAAAUCAUCAUGCCCCUUAUGACCUGGGCUACACACGUGCUACAAUGGGCAGAACAAAGGGCAGCGAAGCCGCGAGGCUAAGCCAAUCCCACAAAUCUGUUCUCAGUUCGGAUCGCAGUCUGCAACUCGACUGCGUGAAGCUGGA